rnacentral:rRNA from 1 species
UACGGAAGGCAGCAGUGGGGAAUAUUGCACAAUGGGCGCAAGCCUGAUGCAGCCAUGCCGCGUGUAUGAAGAAGGCCUUCGGGUUGUAAAGUACUUUCAGUCGUGAGGAAGGUGUUAAGGUUAAUAACCUUAGCAAUUGACGUUAGCGACAGAAGAAGCACCGGCUAACUCCGUGCCAGCAGCCGCGGUAAUACGGAGGGUGCGAGCGUUAAUCGGAAUUACUGGGCGUAAAGGGCACGCAGGCGGUUAAUUAAGUUGGAUGUGAAAUCCCCGGGCUUAACCUGGGAAUGGCAUUCAAGACUGGUUAGCUAGAGUCUUGUAGAGGGGGUAGAAUUCCAUGUGUAGCGGUGAAAUGCGUAGAGAUGUGGAGGAAUACCGGUGGCGAAGGCGGCCCCUGGGACAAAGACUGACGCUCAUGUGCGAAAGCUGGGGAGCAACAGGAUUAGAC